rnacentral:rRNA from 1 species
UAAGGAAUAUUGGUCAAUGGAGGCAACUCUGAACCAGCCAUGCCGCGUGCAGGAAGAAGGCCCUAUGGGUCGUAAACUGCUUUUGAACAAGAGAAAACCCCGGUACGUGUACUGGGUUGAUAGUAUUGUUAGAAUAAGCAUCGGCUAACUUCGUGCCAGCAGCCGCGGUAAGACGAAGGAUGCAAGCGUUAUCCGGAUUCAUUGGGUUUAAAGGUGCGUAGGCGGACUGAUAAGUCAGUGGUGAAAUCUCUCGGCUUAACCGAGAAACUGCCAUUGAUACUGUUAGUCUAGAGUACAGAUGAUGUGGGCGGAAUAUGACAUGUAGUGGUGAAAUACUUAGAUAUGUCAUAGAACACCGAUUGCGAAGGCAGCUCACAAAACUGUAACUGACGCUGAGGCACGAAAGUGCGGGGAUCAAACAGGAUUAGAUACCCAGGUAGUCCCUGAGCGGGCUGGCAAGGCGCAU